rnacentral:rRNA from 1 species
GGACCCUAGUCAGGCGUGGUCACCCGCUGAGUUUAAGCAUAUAU